rnacentral:rRNA from 1 species
GACGAAGGGGGCUAGCGUUGCUCGGAAUCACUGGGCGUAAAGCGCACGUAGGCGGCUUUUUAAGUCAGGGGUGAAAUCCUGGAGCUCAACUCCAGAACUGCCUUUGAUACUGAGAAGCUUGAGUCCGGGAGAGGUGAGUGGAACUGCGAGUGUAGAGGUGAAAUUCGUAGAUAUUCGCAAGAACACCAGUGGCGAAGGCGGCUCACUGGCCCGGUACUGACGCUGAGGUGCGAAAGCGUGGGGAGCAAACAGG